AUCUCUAGAGUAUCUACAGAUACAAAUUCUAACUACAAACUAUCUUCCAUUGUGAAUAUGGAUACCCAAAAAUAUUCUGCUGUGAAAUUUGCAAUCUUACUGAUUUUCGUUAUCAUUGCAUCAGAUAUGUGUAAGAUAUCAAAUGCAAGAGGUCCUAUUGUCUCACUUCACUGUCACCGUGAUGAAACUUGUGAAAGUCGUUAUCCAAAUCUUGGUUGCAAAUGUGUUGAGACUUGGUGCAAUUGUCCAGGAGAUCAUCCUCCAAAGUUAACCAAUAGUUUAUUACCGCCUGUGUUAACUACUUAGAUAAUGUGAUACAUGUACAAAGAAUAAAAAGAUGAUAAUACAAAAUUGCAUCUCAAUGUAUAUC